rnacentral:rRNA from 1 species
UACAGAGGUCCCGAGCGUUGUUCGGAUUCACUGGGCGUAAAGGGUGCGUAGGUGGCGAUGAAAGUUCGAUGUGAAAUCUCCGGGCUUAACCCGGAAAAGGCAUUGAAAACUAUGUUGCUUGAGGUUUGGAGGGGGGACUGGAAUUCUUGGUGUAGCAGUGAAAUGCGUAGAUAUCAAGAGGAACACCAGCGGCGAAGGCGGGUCCCUGGACAACACCUGACACUGAGGCACGAAAGCUAGGGGAGCAAACAGG